UAUAGGGACGGCGCUUCUAGGGUUCCAAUAUCGUCACUUAUUCAUUGUAGUCAUAUUACUAAGUUGAAGUGUUAAAAAUGCAGUCGAUUGGUUAUUUUUGUCUUUGCAUCUGCGCGUUCGUAUUAGUACAAGCUGUACAGUACAAGAAGAAAGGAUACAGUGGAUAUGGCCGUAGAGUUGGAUACGGAGGUGGUAAUAGAUAUGGUGGCGGUAAUGGAUACAAUGGCGGAAAUGAAUAUGAUGCUCUAACUGGAUAUAAUGGCGGUAGUAAUGGAUAUAACGGUGGCGAUUAUGUUGACUUUGCUCCGAGUGAAAACCAAAAUGGUUAUAAUGGAAACGGAGGUAACGGAAAUGGUUAUGAAGGAAAUGGAUACGGUGCAAGAAAAUCUUACGGGAAAAGCUCAUACGGCAAAGAGCGAAAAGGUGGCUACUAAGGAUCAUACCAACAAGAUGCAACCAGAAUUCUGACAGCCCAAUCGACAUGUGUGUGUUUAUAUUGAUUUUAACAUUUGUAUUUAUCUGAUCUUAUUUUGUAAAAUAUUCAAAAACAAAUAAAUUAUAUUCUUCUUAA